CAGGCCUUGACAUCCAAUGAACUUUCCAGAGAUGGAUUGGUGCCUUCGGGAACAUUGAGACAGGUGCUGCAUGGCUGUCGUCAGCUCGUGUCGUGAGAUGUUGGGUUAAGUCCCGUAACGAGCGCAACCCUUGUCCUUAGUUACCAGCACGUAAUGGUGGGCACUCUAAGGAGACUGCCGGUGACAAACCGGAGGAAGGUGGGGAUGACGUCAAGUCCUCAUGGCCCUUAUGGGUAGGGCUUCACACGUCAUACAAUGGUCGGAACAGAGGGUCGCCAACCCGCGAGGGGGAGCCAAUCCCAGAAACCCGAUCGUAGUCCGGAUCGCAGUCUGCAACUCGACUGCGUGAAGUCGGAAUCGCUAGUAAUCGCGAAUCUCUAGAGGUCCCC
rnacentral:rRNA from 1 species